AAUGGCCUAACGGCUGAACCAGUAACUUGGAAGAAUGAAAAGUGCAGCAGCAGAAGUACGGAAAUAGAGAAGUACAAAAUUAUGGAACUACGGAAGUAUGGAAGUGUGUCGUACCGAAAAUGAGUAAUCAUAUGAAGUUCUAGCAUAAAAGGAAUUAUGACUAUUUUAUGUCUAUCAGUAUUGACCAAAUUACGUGCCAGCAGUCGCGGUAAUACGUAAAAUACUAGUGUUAUUCAUCUUUAAUAGGUUUAAAGGGUACCUAGACGGAAAAUAAAGCCAAUUAAGGGUACUAAUUUUCUUGAGUUUUAUGCGUGAAAAAAGAAUUAUUAGAGGAGAGUUGAAAUUCUUUUAUACUAAUAGGACUGGUGACGGCGAAAGCAUUUUUCUAUGUAAAAACUGACGUUGAGGGACGAAGCCUUUGGUAGCGAUAAGGAUUAGAUACCCUAAUAGUCUUAGGAGAAAAUUAUGAAUGCCAUAGGCUAGUAUAUUUGGCUUAUAAAUGAAAGUGCAAGCAUUCCACCUCAAGAGUAAAGCGGCAACGCCGAAACUGAAAUCAUUAGACCGUUUCUGAAAACAGUAGUGAAGUAUGUUAUUUAAUUCGAUGAUCCGCGAAUAACCUUACCACAAUUUGAAUAAUAAUAUGUUAACGUGUUAACAUAUUAUCACAAGCGCUGCACGGCUGUCUUCAGCUAAUGUCGUGAGAUUAUGGUUAGAUCCAUCAAUUAGCGUAAACCCUUACUAUAUUUAACUUUAUUGGUUUAGUUAAAAAGUCUUUUUUUUUUAUAUACUUUAAAAAUGAUUUAUAUAGUAGUUCAGCCUCCAACAAUGGUUAGAUAACAGGGAUUAAGACAAGUCAUCAUGGCCUUAAUAUUGU
rnacentral:rRNA from 1 species